GGGGCCAAACGGCGAUGAUCCCAAAGGAAAUGAUCGGGGUGGGCCAAAGAAAGUGAUCCAAUCGCAAUGGGGCUGGAGAGAGGAUCCGAUUGGCAUGGGGUCGGAGAUAGGGAAUCUGACAAGGGUAGGGCCGGAUGGGGGGUGAUCCAAUAAGGAGACAUCGAGUGAUCGGAGGAGAAAAAGGUACGAGGACUGUCGGUGAAAUAGUGAACAAGAGGAGACUAUGCGGUGGAGGUUCUUGAGGUUG
rnacentral:lncRNA from 1 species